rnacentral:rRNA from 2 species
GCAAGGUUAAAACUCAAAUGAAUUGACGGGGGCCCGCACAAGCGGUGGAGCAUGUGGUUUAAUUCGAUGCAACGCGAAGAACCUUACCUGGUCUUGACAUCCACAGAACUUUCCAGAGAUGGAUUGGUGCCUUCGGGAACUGUGAGACAGGUGCUGCAUGGCUGUCGUCAGCUCGUGUUGUGAAAUGUUGGGUUAAGUCCCGCAACGAGCGCAACCCUUAUCCUUUGUUGCCAGCGGUCAGGCCGGGAACUCAAAGGAGACUGCCAGUGAUAAACUGGAGGAAGGUGGGGAUGACGUCAAGUCAUCAUGGCCCUUACGACCAGGGCUACACACGUGCUACAAUGGCGCAUACAAAGAGAAGCGACCUCGCGAGAGCAAGCGGACCUCAUAAAGUGCGUCGUAGUCCGGAUUGGAGUCUGCAACUCGACUCCAUGAAGUCGGAAUCGCUAGUAAUCGUGGAUCAGAAUGCCACGGUGAAUACGUUCCCGGGCCUUGUACACACCGCCCGUCACACCAUGGGAGUGGGUUGCAAAAGAAGUAGGUAGCUUAACCUUCGGGAGGGCGCUUACCACUUUGUGAUUCAUGACUGGGGUGAAGUCGUAACAAGGUAACCGUAGGGGAACCUGCGGUUGGAUCACCUCCUUACCUUAAAGAA